GGCGGCAUAGCUCAGUUGGUUAGAGCAACGGAAUCAUAAUCCGCAGGUCGUUGGUUCAAAUCCGACUGCCGCUA
rnacentral:tRNA from 6 species